rnacentral:rRNA from 1 species
AGUCGGGACCUAAGGAGAGACCGAAAGGUGUAUCCGAUGGACAACAGGUUGAUAUUCCUGUACUAGUGUAUAUAGUGAUGGAGGGACGCAGUAGGCUAACUAAAGCGGGCGAAUGGAAGAGCCCGUCUAAGCAGUGAGGUGUGAUAUGAGUCAAAUGCUUGUAUCUGUAACAUUGAGCUGUGAUGGGGAGCGAAAUUAAGUAGCGAAGUUAGUGACGUCACACUGCCAAGAAAAGCUUCUAGCGAUAAGUAUACACUACCCGUACCGCAAACCGACACAGGUAGUCGAGGCGAGUAGCCUCAGGUGAGCGAGAGAACUCUCGUUAAGGAACUCGGCAAAAUGACCCCGUAACUUCGGGAGAAGGGGUGCUGACUUUUAGUCAGCCGCAGUGAAUAGGCCCAAGCAACUGUUUAUCAAAAACACAGCUCUCUGCUAAACGUAAGAUGAUGUAUAGGGGGUGACGCCUGCCAGGUGCUGGAAGGUUAAGAGGAGGGUUUAGCGUAAGCGAAGAUCUGAAUUGAAGCCCCAGUAAACGGCGGCCGUAACAAUAACGGUCCUAAGGUAGCGAAAUUCCUUGUCGGGUAAGUUCCGACCCGCACGAAAGGCGUAAUGAUUUGGGCACUGUCUCAACGAGAGACUCGGUGAAAUUUUAGUACCUGUGAAGAUGCAGGUUACCCGCGACAGGACGGAAAGACCCCAUGGAGCUUUACUGCAGUUUGAUAUUGAGUAUCUGUACCACAUGUACAGGAUAGGUAGGAGCCUAUGAAAUCGGGACGCCAGUUUCGAUUGAGGCGCUGUUGGGAUACUACCCUUGUGUUAUGGCUACUCUAACCCGGUAGGUUAAUCAUCUACGGAGACAGUGUCUGACGGGCAGUUUGACUGGGGCGGUCGCCUCCUAAAAGGUAACGGAGGCGCCCAAAGGUUCCCUCAGAAUGGUUGGAAAUCAUUCGCAGAGUGUAAAGGUAUAAGGGAGCUUGACUGCGAGAGCUACAACUCGAGCAGGGACGAAAGUCGGGCUUAGUGAUCCGGUGGUUCCGUAUGGAAGGGCCAUCGCUCAACGGAUAAAAGCUACCCUGGGGAUAACAGGCUUAUCUCCCCCAAGAGUUCACAUCGACGGGGAGGUUUGGCACCUCGAUGUCGGCUCGUCGCAUCCUGGGGCUGUAGUCGGUCCCAAGGGUUGGGCUGUUCGCCCAUUAAAGCGGCACGCGAGCUGGGUUCAGAACGUCGUGAGACAGCUCGGUCCCUAUCCGUCGCGGGCGUAGGAAAUUUGAGAGGAUCUGCUCCUAGUACGAGAGGACCAGAGUGGACUUACCGCUGGUGUACCAGUUGUCUCGCCAGAGGCAUCGCUGGGUAGCUAUGUAGGGAAGGGAUAAGCGCUGAAAGCAUCUAAGUGUGAAACCCACCUCAAGAUGAGAUUUCCCAUAACAUUAAGUUAGUAAGAGCCCUGAGAGAAGAUCAGGUAGAUAGGUUGGAAGUGGAAGUGUGGCGACACAUGUAGCGGACCAAUACUAAUCGCUCGAGGACUUAUUC